GGCCAGGUAGCUCAGUUGGUAAGAGCAUUUGUCCUGAUAUGCCAAGGUCAUGGGUUCAAUCCCCAGUCAGGGCA
rnacentral:tRNA from 1 species